GACAGAGGGUGCAAACGUUGUUCGGAAUUACUGGGCGUAAAGCGAGUGUAGGCGGUGUGGUAAGUCGGAUGUGAAAGCCCCGGGCUCAACCCGGGGAAGUGCACUCGAUACUGCCACGCUAGAGUAUCGGAGAGGUUGGUGGAAUUCUCGGUGUAGAGGUGAAAUUCGUAGAUAUCAGGAGGAACACCAUGGCGAAGGCAGCUCGCU
rnacentral:rRNA from 1 species